CCUAGGGGAGGCAGCAGUGGGGAAUAUUGGGCAAUGGGCGCAAGCCUGACCCAGCGACGCCGCGUGCGGGAUGAAGGCCCUCGGGUUGUAAACCGCUUUCAGUAGGGAAGAAGCGAAAGUGACGGUACCUACAAAAGGAGCACCGGCUAACUAUGUGCCAGCAGCCGCGGUAAU
rnacentral:rRNA from 1 species